AGUGAACGCUGGCGGUAGGCCUAACACAUGCAAGUCGAACGGCAGCACAGUAAGAGCUUGCUCUUACGGGUGGCGAGUGGCGGACGGGUGAGGAAUACAUCGGAAUCUACUUUUUCGUGGGGGAUAACGUAGGGAAACUUACGCUAAUACCGCAUACGACCUACGGGUGAAAGCAGGGGAUCUUCGGACCUUGCGCGAUUGAAUGAGCCGAUGUCGGAUUAGCUAGUUGGCGGGGUAAAGGCCCACCAAGGCGACGAUCCGUAGCUGGUCUGAGAGGAUGAUCAGCCACACUGGAACUGAGACACGGUCCAGACUCCUACGGGAGGCAGCGGUGGGGAAUAUUGGACGAUGGGCGCAAGCCUGAUCCAGCCAUACCGCGUGGGUGAAGAAGGCCUUCGGGUUGUAAAGCCCUUUUGUUGGGAAAGAAAAGCAGCAGGUUAAUACCCCGCUGCUCUGACGGUACCCAAAGAAUAAGCACCGGCUAACUUCGUG
rnacentral:rRNA from 1 species